UCUAAUUCUAAUUGUCAGUCUCUUUAUCAAUGACACCAAGUGGCAAGGAACAUCACCAUCUUUGGAGACCUAGUGGUGGAGUUAAGCUACUCCAGGGAAACAAUUUUAUGUAAAGAGGAGUUGGGCUUCCUAGAGGAAAAAGUACAUCUGUUUUUUGUUUUUCUUCCUUUUUCCUGAUACAACUUAGCAGAGCAGCACAAGUUUGUAGGUGGGAACCACCACUUUACCCAACACAUGCCCCAGAAAAUUACCCAAUUUCUGUCUAUUCUGCUCCCCUCGGCACCCCCUUUCACUUCCCAUUCCAAUCCUGUCAGUCUCAAUCAACUGUUACUGCUGACCUAUGGGCCCGACUGCUGAAUGCCUUGACUAGAAUCCUGAAGAGUAAUGACAUCUGUUGUUACAGUUGUGGUGGUGGUGGUGAUAGUGGUGGUAAGUGUAUGUGGCUUAGGUGGGGGACGAGUAAUGUUACCGGACACCUUGUUUCCACUCUAUGUUCUUCAACAAUGACUAUACAUCAGAAUUUAGUAUCUGGAGAUUAACAACAACAAUAACAACAAUAAAAACUAAGUAACAGGGAUGUUCAUUUCCAGUAGUGGCAAACUAUUAAUUCAGACCAAACCUCCUACUGAGUUUUAAUAGAAAAGAUAAGGGGAAAAUCCAUUUGAAGGUAUCUGAAAGCUAAAGAAGUAGGGCAUAAUUACUUCAGGAUUUGGAAAAAAUAAAAAUCAAGAGACUUGUGCAUUAUGAUUGAGGCCACUUUUCUCCUAGAGACAUUUGAAAAUCCCAGAAAAGGUAUCUGGGGUAUAAAAGUCCUUCCCAAGUGGAAGCUUACCAAACUCUUUGCACAUAAGAUUGUUACUCCAAAGAACUAUAGCCAGGAAUAAGGGUGAAGUAGAAGCCAACUGGCUCUCUGAAAGACUGUAGCCCAGUUCCAAAUUACUUUUAUCACUGAAAUUAUCUUAAGCGUUUUCAGGUUGCUAGAGAUCCCCAAUGCCCCAAAUGCAAACUUUUUCCUGGGUAAAGUUAACAAUGUGCUAGACCUCAAAUUAUGUCAACAUACAAUUUUAAAAAUAUAAGUUCUGAUGUACAAUAGAAAAUAACCAAGACCCUAAGAAGACAGAACUUCAUGAAAAAUAACUAAAAACAGUCUUGCAAGGACUCCAAAAAUUAGGGUCCCAAAACAUUGAUUUUAAAAGCUAUGCUUUCUUACAUUCAAAGAGAUAAAAGACAAGAUUUGGAAUUAUAGCUGAGAGCUAAAAAUAUUAAACCAUGGUAAAUUGAAAAAGGAUCAAAUAGAAAAGCUAGAAUUUGCAAAUGCAGUAACUAAAAUUAAGAACAAAAUAUAUGGAUUUAACAGCAGACUAAACAUCAUUGAAGAAAGAAUCUAUGAUCUGAAUGGCAGGACAGAAGAAAAUAUGCAGAAAACCAUAAAUCACAAUGAAUGGCAGACAGAAAAGAGAGAGAAAUGAUGAGAUUACAGUGAGAAAACAUGAUAUACAUGUGGAAUCCAGGAAGUAGAAGAGAGUGAAAUAGGGCAGAAAUAAUAUUUGAGAAAAUAAUGGCUAAGAAUCUUCCAAAGUUGAUAAAGAACAAUAAACCUAUAUUCAAUAAUUCAUAAGGAUAAAUAAAAAGAAAUUCAUACCUAGGCUCAUCAUUGUAAAGCUGAUGUAAAUAACAAUAAUAAAGUAAAUUUUAAAAGCAGCCAGAAGAGAAAAGACAGAUUACUUUCAAGGAAAACAGUUUGACAUAUUACUUUUCAAAAGAAACAAUGAAAGCCAGAAAACAAUGGGAUGAUAUUUCCAAAGAACCCAAAGAAGAUAACCUAUAGUUUAUACACAGGGAAAAUAUCCUCCAAGAAUGAAGACGAAAUAAUGACAUUUGUUUUUUAAGCAAAAACUGAUAUAAUUGAUCUCUAGCAGACCCACAAUAAAGAAAAUACUUCUUUGGCCAGAAGGAAAAUCAUUCCUAAUGGAAGAUCAACUAUUCAAGAAAGAAAGAAGAGCAAUGAGAAAGCUAUGUACAGCUUACAGCAAUUUGAUAAAGUAUUCUUUUGUACAUAAAAUGGAAACAUUUGCUUUUCUUCCCUACUUGAUCUCUCCAAAGUUCAGAAACCAUUGGUGGUUCAAUUCAUCAAGACCCUGGCUUAGGAGCAUACUCCAAACUCUUGGGUCUCGCUCUGUCACCGUAGCUGAAGUGCAGUGGUGUAAUUUCAGCU